ACGACCGCUAGAGGGCAGUAGUCGUAUCCAUAGCGCUUUCUGAUUGGUUCUCAUGGAUCCUGACCAAGGCCUAUAUAGAGAGACGCUGGACCCUAUCAUAUCAUUUCCGCCUGUGUUGCAUGUUUUGUUCCUGCUUUCGCUCUUCCUGUUUGAAUCAAGACGUGUUAUUCGAGAUGGAGCAUACAUCUGAAGCUAUGUUUUUAAAUCAUGAGGUUGCUCAACCACAAGGCAGCAUGGAUCCUGAAUAUGUUUUUGAACAUGAAGACGUGUGGAUUUUGGUGAUCUUACAUCAUCACAGUUGGAUUCGCCUUUCGCUGAUACCCCAAAUUUAACUUGCUCGGAGUGUAAUAAAACUUUUGCACACCAGAGAAGCUUGACAAGACAUAUUGAAGUGCAGCAUUCAAUAUCAAGACACAUUUGCGCCAUAUGCAAAAAGGAGUUUUCCCGAAAGGAUAGUUUAAUGAGGCAUAUGAAAACGCAUUCAGAACCCCAGACAUCCAUGCCAUCUCGCUUAGUGAAACGAGCAGCUUCCCCCGCCACCCUGCCUGCCCCUUAACGACCACGGCAAGAACGCCCACCCUGCCUUGGUACGUUUGCUACAGAAAUCAUUUAUCCCAGUGAAGACACCAAAACAGAUUUGCAAGUAUUUUUAGAGUCUUCAAAAACUGAUAUCGCUAGCAAGAUUCGAGAAGCUGCCACACAGCAUCAAGGUAUCAAAUGGUACUUGAAUGCUUCUGUGAAGAUGGUCAGAAAAGUGUCAGAGACCGAGGAGGAGACAUGCAUCCCUUACUUUCGAUCCAUGCUACAAUCAGGUUGCGGAUUUAGUAUGACAUCAAAGCAGCGGGGAGUUCUAUGUCAAUCGAUAAACGUGUACAUGAAACCGGAUUACUACACAAAAAGGAUGAGACAUGUGUCUGACGUAAGAAUAGCAAGAUAAUACGAAGUGAUAAUGCGUGAUGACGUCACAAACAGGAUGCAGCACGUCCGGGGUUAAGCCGCGUGGUUGAUGACGUAUCAACCUACACGGGCUCCUCCGUAAAUUUCCUCUCCCCCCGUCCGUCGUCUGUGAGCGCCACAGCGCCACAUGGCUCCAAACCCCCAUUACGUCAUCAACCACGCGGCUUAACCCCGGACGUGCUGCAUCCUGUUUGUGACGUA